UGUUACUGAGCUGCUCUUGGUGGUCCUGACACAGCAAGGGUUGGACCAGAUGACCCCUAAGGGUUUCUGCCGACCCCAACCAAUACCUCCAUUCUGUGACUUUCUGACCAUGUGAAGGGAAAGUCUGAGAUAAUUCUCUGUUCUUCCAUCCAGUACUACACCCAAAGGCAGCAUGUCGCUGUCAGUCUCAGCUCUACACCUGAGCUGCUCAAAUCAACAACCCAAAGGCCUUUAGGUAAGCCUAGGGAUUGCCAUGCUGGGAUAUCUUUACCAAUGAUGGUGGCUCAGAUCUGGAUUUCAUGGCUGCUUCAGUUUUCCCCUUUUCUUUUCUGACAUGGAAAACCAGCAGAAGAAUUUGUGUGGCAUUUUCCACUCAAGGAGAUGCUGAUCUCAUUUUGAUUUCUUCUGCCCUUUGAUUUGGGCACAGCCACGUGCAGGGAUGCUGCUGAAAGGGUCAGAGAUAUGCAUGUAGAUUUUUUUCACAAACCAAAUGGAAAUAUCUUCUCUCAUCAGGUGAUUUUCAGUGAAAAAAAAAAAAAAAUGCCAAUGAGCUUCAAGGCCCAUCCAAUUGCACAUGGAAAAAAGAAAUAGUCAUGACCAACCCAGGAGGCUCAGCCAGCAGCCAGGACCAGCUUCUAUGACUCAGUCUGAUGACAUUAUACUGCUCUGUUUGGCUCUGCUUGGAAAGGAAGGCAGACUUGCUACUUGAGGAUGCGCCGUAAUGGUUUUCUAAGAGAGAAAAGUGCCAUGGUGGGUCCUGCUGG
rnacentral:lncRNA from 1 species